GUGUCAUUUGUUCCCUCCCCCUCAGUGCUCCGCACGGACACUGGCCCGCAGGGCCUGCUGGAGAUGCAGGGCGCCAGGCUGCCACCACCAGCCUAGCGUGCCCUGCAGCUGCAGUUCCACUGGCGGGGUCCCCGGGCGAGCAGGCUCAGAGCACAGCCUGGAUGGGCAGCACCGCCCCAUGGAGGUGGGCCUGGUCAUGGGGAGGGGUGGUGGGAGUGCCCCAUGGAGGCCAGGGCAGCCUGGUGGGAGUAGCUGGGUACCUCCCGUAGUCUGUGUCUCCCCAGAUGCACGUGGUCCAUAUGAACACCCGGUACCAGAGCAUAGGGGAAGCCCGAGGUCACCCUGAUGGUCUGGCAGUGCUGGCCCUGCUCUUGACGGUGAGGGAGGGGCCGUGUGCCUCCUGCAGGGAGGGGGGCUGCUAUGUGACAGCCUGCUUUCAAGAAAGGGGGUCCAUGGGGGUCUGUAGAGGGGACAGGUGGCCUGUGUAAUCUUGGGUGGGCAUUGGGGCCCCUAGAGGCUUUAUAGGAUGAACGGGUUCUGUGAGGGGGUGUGGCCAGUGAGAAGUCGUGGACCUGCAGGGUCAAUGGGGGUGGCCCUCCCCCCAGCAAACCCCCUUCACCUCUCUUCCCACUUAGUCUACCCUACACCCCCCUCAGUGUUCCCCCCUUUUAAGACCCCCGCUCGAGCCCCUCUCACUUGGAGCCCCGUUCCCAGGAUCAGGAUUCUGACAACGCUCAGCCGUCUGUGGUGCCUGAAGAACGUGUCCGCGCGCGGUGAGGGACGCGGUUCCCCGCGGCGGGGGCGGGGCGGCCGGACACCGGGAGAUUGGUUCCAACCCGCCGCCGUCUCUCCCAGGGGCCUCCGUGAACCUGGCGUCCACCUUCCCGCUGGCCUUGCUGCUGCUGGGCGCCUCUGGCCUCUUGCGCUUCUACCGCUACGCGGGGUCGCUGACCACGCGGUGCUGCGAGCCCGUGGUGCUCUGGACAGUCUUCGAGGACACGGUCCCCAUCGGGCGCGCUCAGGUGAGACCCGACCCAGGCAACACUCCGGGAAGAUGGGCUGUGGAGUCUGAUGUAGGUUGACACUGGAGAGACACUGCUGUCGGGUGACUGCCUGCCGUGACGCUACUUAAGGUAAGUGGCUUUCGUGUCACUGUCAAAGCAAAGCUGAGAGUCCAGGGGGCACUGACCAGAUGCGCUCUGUCCAGGCAACGCUGUCCAGUAGAGGGUGGGCCCGACUGUCAGGGGAGUGAAGCUGGCUAGAGUUAGGCUGCUGUCAAGGGCCCACGGUAGAAUGUGCUCUUACAUCCAAGUGACACUGUCCUGAGUGAACCUGUGUCCAGGUGACAGUGUCCCAGCAGCCCACGUGUCCCCGGUGUCUGUCACUUGGUGUGUGAGUCACACUCUCCACCCCAGUGCAUGAAGGUCCGACCUCCUCCCUUGAGACCCUUCAAGAAAAUACACUUGCAACCACCUCCCCCAGACAGAGGAGACCUUGGGCUCUCCCGCUGCGCUCACUCCCGGAAGCUGACAUACCCCUGGCCCGAGCCUUACCCCGCCGGGACUCCGGCUCCAGCUGCGCGGAGCCAGCCGUACUCCCCAGCCCCUUCCGAUACCACAGCGCUAGCCAGCGGCGUCGGAGGACCCUUCUCGCUCCAAGCCCCGCUCCAGGAGCCACCUGGCCAGUCCCAGGUAGCAAAGCCCCGCGGCCGGCGGCGGCGCGCCAGGCCCUCGCCCCGGGCUCCCUCCCCCUGUGCUUAAUCCCCGCUGCCCUGUGGGGCCCCGGCGGCGUAUUCUUGAG
rnacentral:lncRNA from 1 species